rnacentral:lncRNA from 13 species
UUAAUCAUUAUAAUAACAGCCGGCUGAUUUCCAUUGUCCUUUGUCUCUCCAUGUUUGGUAAGGCUCGUUUAGCAAAACCACUGCCUUAUUUAAAUUCAGUUCUCUAUCUAUCCUCCUCCUAGAUCUUCGAAGAUAUGGCUAGAGAAAAAUACAAAAGCACACUGACUUGUAGUGAGCUCACCUACCUCCCAGCACGGGGCCCGAGGCACGUGUUCAGCACCAUGGACAGCGCCCUAUUCAUCCUGGGUCUGCUGGCUGCUCAUUGUGUGAGGAUGGAGGCAAAGUCACCUGAGCUGAAGUGCAGUGCUACAAUCUCAGCUCACUGCAGCCUUGAUCUCCUAGGCUCAAGAAAUCCCUUCUCAGCCUCCCGAGGUAGCUAGGAUUACAGGCAUGCACCGACACAAGCAACUGAUUUAUUUUUAUUUUUUAUUUUUAGUAGAGAGGAGGUAUCACUUUGUUGCCUAGGAUGGUCUCAGACCCCUGGGCUCAAGCGAUCCUCCUGCCUCAGCCUCCCAAAGUGCUGGGAUUACUGGCAUGAACCGCCAUGUCUGGCCUAGAUUGUUUUUGAUACUCAUAAUACAUGUUUCUGUGCCUUUGAGAUCACCAUUCAUCAUCCUUUUUAAAAUGAAUAAACACCGGUGGCUCAAGCCUGUAAUCCCA